GGCUCCCCGGAGCUAGUGGCGGACGGGUGAGUAACGUGUGAUAAUCUGCCUUUCCGUGUGGGACAACAGAAGGAAACUUCUGCUACUCCCGGAUGACCCCUUGGGUAAAAGAUUAUUUGCCUGGAGAUGAGCUCGCGUCUGAUUAGCUAGUUGGUGUGAUAAAAGCAUACCAAGGCGACUAUCAGUAGCUGGUCUGAGAGGAUGAGCAGCCACACUGGGACUGAGACACGGCCCAGACUCCUACGGGAGGCAGCAGUGGGGAAUUUUCCGCAAUG
rnacentral:rRNA from 1 species